GUGCUCAUUUUGGCAGCACAUAUACUAAAAUUGGACCCAUACAGGGAAGAUUAGCGUGGCCCCCCUGCACAAGGUAGACAUGCAAAUUUGUGAAGGGUUUCAUAUUUUA
ensembl:snRNA U6 U6 spliceosomal RNA